rnacentral:lncRNA from 1 species
AAGUCUUUAUGAGAGAAACAUAAAAGACUAGAUGUACUUUCAUAGAUGAACUUUUCAAUAGUUUGAACUAAUAAGCUAUUGGAUUGAUUUUCUUUUAAAUAUAAAAUGGUCCCAAUUUUUGAUAGUCCAACUUAUCAUAAGAUUGAUUAGUCUUGAUAUUUUGUCAAAAAAGCCAUACCUUAUAUCCAACUUAAAAAGCAAGUUUUUUUUUUCUAAAUUUUUUUAAAGAUGCUUUGUAAAAAUCUUGAGCUAUUUAUAAAUAGAGCAUCAAAGUUAUUAUUGUUUUCAUUGCAUUCAAGCUUCAGUAGACCAAAGCAAUUGAACUAAUAGAGGUAGGUUCGAAUACGGGAAAAGACUAGUUAUAUGAAUUGG